GAAGGCACACAACUUCCUCCUGUGAAGUGGUCCCUUUAAGGUGGAUCUUUGGACAGUCCAAUAAGAGGAGACACAGAUCAUGUGUGGAUGAAUGAAGGCACCAAGUAGUACCUCAUGCAAUAUGGUUCAAGGUGUAGGUCCUACAGAAGAUACUGGGUCAUAUUCUGUGGAUCCUAAGGACACAGUUCAGAGAAAAAUGGCCAGCAUCCUUGGAUGAGGAGUGAUAGCACUAGAAUCAGGCUCUGGAGAAGUUGAUUGGUGUUUCUGUCCUACCUAUUGACAACUGAGGUUUAUAUGUAAGUGCCAUUCUAAUUCUCCCAAGUAUGAGUAAUUCUUGGAUUUUUGUGUCAUCAAGGAUUUACCAUAAUUUCAUGCAGUCCUACCUGGACCUGCAGCAGUCUUAGUGGCUGUGCAUGCUUCCAUUGUCAGGCUGUGGAGCCAAUGCACUCUGUUUCUUGAUGGGGAAGAUGUUGGAAUUUCUCAUACUCACCAAC